rnacentral:rRNA from 1 species
UACGGAGGGUGCAAGCGUUAUCCGGAUUUAUUGGGUUUAAAGGGUCCGUAGGCGGAUCUGUAAGUCAGUGGUGAAAUCUCACAGCUUAACUGUGAAACUGCCAUUGAUACUGCAGGUCUUGAGUGUUAUUGAAGUAGCUGGAAUAAGUAGUGUAGCGGUGAAAUGCAUAGAUAUUACUUAGAACACCAAUUGCGAAGGCAGGUUACUAAGCAACAGCUGACGCUGAUGGACGAAAGCGUGGGGAGCGAACAGG